rnacentral:tRNA from 1 species
UAGUGGUAAAACUAGCCUUCCAAGCUAA